CCGCAAAGCAUGCAUUGAUGCCAAGUUUAUUUUGAACUGUGUUGCAGUGUUGAAGUUAUUCACGUUGUUAUAUUUUAACUCAUAUAGUGAGAAAUACACGAAUCUAUUGGGAUAAUAUUAACUAUCGAAUUGUUGAUUUGUGCUACCAACGUCCGGGACAACAAAUGAGUGUACACUGUAUACUGUAGUUUGGAUUUUAAAUCACUUGAUUGUGCUGGAAAUAAUUGGUCUACAAAUAGUCUGUGGUUUCUGAGUGUCUCCAGCUCAGAUCUUUUAUAUAACUGAGAAUCUCUAACUGCAGACGGGAUGUGGCAGAUGGUUCUUCUAAGGAUUUUAUAGUCCCCAAACUUGCGACUGAGUAUUACAGUCCCUUGGAGGCGGGAUGGAUUCCUGGCGUCCAAAUAUAAAUGCAAAGCCGUUUGUUCCCAGGCGGAGAAAUUAUGCUUCCCUUCAUAUCCCAGGAACCUACCAUAGAACUGCGACGAGACGGUUGUUAUCAAAGGUAUUUCAGAUGGUCUUGGUGGUUGUACUUUUUAUCACGGUACUCAUCAACAUUUUCUUUAUCGCAGACACAGGGAAACGUUUACGAGAACAAGGUGUUGUAGAAGGUGGAACUGAUCCAAGAGAGGCCCCAAGAAAUGCGCCGCCUCCUGAUGAUGAAGAGUCCGAAAACUUGGAGAAUAUCCCCCGAGAGAUGGAAAUUGAAGUUCUGUCCAGCGCCAAUAAGGUUGCCAUAUCUGUAGAUGGAACACAGGUCCUUGAAAAUGGUGAGAAAGACAAGGGGCGGGGCAUUCACAUUCUGGUUUUGAACCAAGCCACCGGUAGUGUGAUGGCUAGCCGAGUGUUUGACACAUACACAGCGCACGCCGACGCAUCCAUGGUCCUGUUUCUAAACAUGAUUUCCGAUGGAAGGAUCAUUAUUCUUACAGUGAAGGAUGAAGGCUCAUUCCAUUUAAAGGACACUGCCAGAAAUCUACUGAAACUUCUUGGAAGUGAGAAAUCUAUGCAUUUGGGAUGGCGUGACACAUGGGCAAUGGUCACGCAGAAGAAGGGAAAACACGGUCAUUUAUUUGUUGAAAAGCAUCAUAAGGCGCCCGAUGUAUCAAAAUGGGGCGCCCCCGUACUACUCAAAGCUGUAGUACCCUUAGUUCCCAAAGAAGAAGUAGAGUGUGACUGGCCGGACACGGAAACAAACCGUCGACGGCGAGAAUUCUGUAGCAAGAUAGAAGGCUACGGGAGUCUAUGCAGCUGUAGCGACCCAGCCCCAAUUGAAAUGAACCCCGAAAAGCUUACGCCAAAUAAUAUAGAGGAUGUUCCAGUGAUAGUAAUAGCUAGUAACCGUCCUAAUUAUCUGUAUAGAAUGCUAAUGGCAUUGCUGUCUGCACAAGGUGUGCAUCCUCAAAUGGUAACAGUGUUCAUAGAUGGAUAUUUCAACGAACCAUUAGAAGUAGUGAGGUUGUUUGGCGUGCAAGGAAUUCAGCACACCCCCAUUGGUGUCAAGAAUGCUCGUAUAUCACAGCAUUACAAAGCAAGUUUAACAGCAACAUUUAAUAUGUAUCCGAAAGCAGAGUAUGUGAUUAUUUUAGAAGAAGAUCUAGAUGUCUCAGAAGAUUUUUUUAGUUAUUUUAGUCAGACUAGACACUUAUUAGAGGAAGAUGACAGUAUAUAUUGUAUAUCUGCCUGGAAUGACCAGGGAUAUGAACAUACCUGCAAUGAUCCAAGUUUAUUGUACAGAGUAGAGACAAUGCCAGGCCUAGGCUGGAUGCUAAAACGUAGUAUUUACAAAGAGGAGUUAGAGCCUCACUGGCCAACACCAGAGAAGGUAAAAACAAUUAUAAAGCCUGGUUCUCGCGAGAGCCCUAGUAUCAACCAAUCACAGGUACGUAUUUACAAUUUCCAGUUUCUUAUUGGCCAGUUAUUUGAUCAUCAUAUUCUUGGUAUCAGGAUCGGGGUUUUCUCGUAUGGACGGACGGUAUAGUAGCUUCUGUACCAUGGUCACUUUUUCGUACCACAGAUCUUUCCGAGUUUCUGGUAUUCUUCUUGUAUUAGUAUCAUUGAGUGGCUAUUGUUACAACAGACUUCUGAGAAUUUUGAUUGGAUAUUAUUGUAAUGUAGUGUAAUGGUCAUGCAUUUGGCUUUUCCAAAAGAUACCAAUGAUCCAGAAUAAGAGGAAAAAAAACCAAUAAAGCCAAAAUUGAUUGUUGUUUUAAGUAGCAACUAAAAAGAACUAUUUUAAUAAUUCCUGCAUACAAAAACAUCCAAUGAUUAGGAAAUUGUUUAAAGAAUGGUGUAACAAUAGCCACUGUCUAUUAUUACUAUGUGUUUAUUGAUGAUAAUUAUGUUUUCCUUGGUGCUUUUUCAGCUUUGGGAUUGGGAUAUGUGGAUGAGGCUUCCAGAUAUACGGAAAGGUCGGGAGUGCGUUAUUCCAGACAUUUCCCGAACUUACCAUUUUGGUGCUACCGGUGUAAAUAUGAAUAGUUAUUUUCAAGAUUUAUAUUUUAAAAAACAUCC
rnacentral:misc_RNA from 1 species